UGACAAGAAGUUCGCCCGUUCUGAUG
rnacentral:piRNA from 1 species